AUGUUCCUCUUGGAUGUCCUAUAUGGAACUCUGCGCUUCCUUAAUUUGAGUGUUUCCCCUUCCAUAUUAGGUAUGUUUUCAGCUAUAAUCUCUUCCAAUGUUCUCUCAGGCCCUUUAUCUCUCUCUCCUCCUUCUAAGAACCUUAUAGGGGUACAUUUCACGUUGUCCUCAUUUCAUUCAUUUUUCUUUAUUAUUUUCUGCAGCAGUAUUUCUCCUAUUCUGCCUUCUCUCUCUCUCUCUUUUUUUUUUUUUUUUUUUGUCUUUUUAGGGCUGUACCCGCAUCAUAUGGAAGUUACCAGGUUAGGAGUCGAAUCAGAGCUGCAGCUGCCAGCCUAUACCACAGCCACAGCAACGCAGGAUCCAAACCGCAUCUGUGACCUGCACCACAGCUCAUGGCAACACCUGAUCCUUAACCCACUAAGCGAGGCCAGGGAUUGAACCCAUGUCCUCAUGGAUAUUAGUCAGGUUCGUUACUGCUGAGCCAUGAUGGGAACUCCUAG
rnacentral:lncRNA from 1 species